rnacentral:sRNA from 1 species
GCUGGGCGUGGUGGCCCACAUCUGUAAUCCUAGCAACUCAGGAAGCUGAGGCAGGAGGAUCACAAGUUUGAGACCAGCCUCAGCAACUUAGUGAAAUCCUGUCUCAA